UAGGGAAUCUUCCGCAAUGGACGAAAGUCUGACGGAGCAACGCCGCGUGAGUGAAGAAGGAUUUCGGUUCGUAAAACUCUGUUGUUAGGGAAGAAAAAAUGUAUAGUAACUAUAUACAAAAGAGACGGUACCUAACCAGAAAGCCACGGCUAACUACGUGCCAGCAGCCGCGGUAAUACGUAGGUGACAAGCGUUGUCCGGAAUUAUUGGCCGUAAAGCGCGCGCAGGUGGUUGAGAAAGUCUGAUGUGAAAGACCUCGGCUCAACCGUGGAGGGUCAUUGGAAACAAAUAAACUUGAGUGCAGGAGAGAAAAGUGGAAUUCCUAGUGUAGCGGUGAAAUGCGUAGAGAUUAGGAGGAACACCGGUGGCGAAAGCGGCUGUUAGGCCUGCAACUGACACUGAGGCGCGAAAGCGUGGGGAGCAAACAGG
rnacentral:rRNA from 1 species